rnacentral:rRNA from 1 species
AUGUGGUGGGCCUUGGAGAAACACAAAGUCCCAGAAAAGUACAUUACCCUCAUCAAGGACAUGUACAAUAAUGUUGUGACAAGUGUUCGAACAAGUGAUGUCGACACUGACGACUUCCCGAUUAAGAUAGGACUGCAUCAGGGGCCAGCUUUGAGCCCUUAUCUUUUUGCACUGGUGAUGGAUGAGGUCACAAGGGAUAUACAAGGAGAUAUCCCAUGGUGUAUGCUCUUUGCGGAUGACGUGGUGCUAGUUGACGAUAGUCGGACGGGGGUAAAUAGGAAGUUAGAGUUAUGGAGACAAACCUUGGAAUCGAAAGGGUUUAGGCUUAGUAGAACUAAAACCGAGUAC